rnacentral:rRNA from 1 species
GUACACGCUGUGACUAGCAUAUCAAUAAGCGGAGGAAAAGAAACUAACAAGGAUUCCCCUAGUAACGGCGAGUGAAGCGGGAAGAGCUCAAAUUUGAAAUCUUAAAGGGUUUCCCUUUACGAAUUGUAGUUUAAAGAAGUGUUUUCUGUUGAGGUUUUGGUAAAAGUUCUUUGGAAUAGGACAUCAUAGAGGGUGAGAAUCCCGUAUUUGACCUUUACUUUCAACUUUGUGAUACACUUUCAAAGAGUCGGAUUGUUUGGGAAUGCAGUCCAAAAUGGGUGGUAAAUUUCAUCUAAAGCUAAAGUAUUGGCGAGAGACCGAUAGCGAACAAGUACCGUGAGGGAAAGAUGAAAAGAACUUUGAAAAGAGAGUUAAACAGUACGUGAAAUUGUCAAAAGGGAAGCGUUUGACACCAGUGUUGUUUUUCUGAAAAUCAAUUAAAGAACUGUUUAUGCUAAGUUGUUUAGACUUUAUCAGCUAACUGUUUAGUUUUGAGCUUUUCUUUAAUGCACUUUUCAGUUAACAAGUCAACAUCAAUUUCUUUUGCUGUAAAAAAGCUUGAGGAAGGUGGCUUGAGAUUCGUCUUAAGUGUUUAUAGCCUCUUGCCUAUGCAGUCGGAGAGAUUGAGGUCUGCAGCGUAGAUCCUUCGGGGCUAAAUGCAUUUGUGCUAAGUUAUAACAUUUUAUAGACAACUUGUUGACUAUGAUUUGUCUUGUAGCUUACUCGCUUAUGUUAUUUUACCUACGCUUAGGAUGUUGACGCGCGUGUGUGCGUG